UUGAUGUUUAAAAAAAAUUCUACCUCUGUGGAAUUAACACUAAUAAUUCUGUUUCAUUCCACACACGCGGCUGUUCCAGUCGUAGUCAACAUAUCUACUUCCUGACAGCAAACACUGUACUGGUGCAAAGUUUUAAUGUAACACAUUUGUGCCCACUGUCAGCAUUAAUAAUUCUGUGUGGAGGCUGCAGUGAAGUGAAGAAACUGCCUGAGCAGGGGACCACAAAUGCCUAACGUGUGAGACAAGCAUCUCGGUGAAACAAAAGCAUGACAUACUUUUUCUUUCCAAAUGAGGUAGUGCUACAACUAAAAGCCAGCUUGCCUUUCGCUUUCUAAAAUACACCUUGCUGGGGAAAACAGUUGCUCCAUCCUGUCCACUGCCCAUGUAAAUGCCAUUCAGAAAAAUAAAACGUGAAUGACAGUUCUUCGGCGGAUUUAUGAUUGGUGAUUGCACGCCAUCCCAGUGCGAAACCUGAAAUGUCCUGCUCAAGGUCAGGGUUGUUCCGGGCUCUUUCGGUGGUUGGUUCUGUAAUUCAACGAACAGGGAAUUUUAGGCGAAAGUAUAUUUCUCCUAAUCUGAUGAGGGUUCUCCUGAUUCUGAACUCCUUCAGAAAUGGGUGGCACAACUUCAGUCGGGAACACCUAAAUGGAGGACAGAGAAAGGCAGAGAACCCGAAGUGACUGAAGGAAAUCCCUGAGAACAGCCGAGUGGUCACAAAGCCCUCCUGUGAGAAGUGCCCUCCCUACACCUGGAGGAGAGGAACAGCCUCGUCUCCGAAGACAGAGACACCAAGAAGAAUCCUAACAAACGGGCCUGGCUGAGUCUCCUCCAGUUUACCACGAUCACCUCACGCUCCUUGACCUCUCCUCUUCCUCCACGACUGUGCUCUCUUCAUCCACCCCAGCAUAAAAUACGCAGGUCCAACUGGUUCUUGGGGGUCUUCAUUUCCUCACAAAGGCUCCCAUGUCAGGUAAAACUUAUAUUAAAUAAAUUUGUAUGCUUUCCCGCUCUUAACCUGUCUUUGUCAGAUCUUUAUCUUAAUCUGUCUUUUGGGACA
rnacentral:lncRNA from 1 species